rnacentral:rRNA from 1 species
ACAAGAAUGACUCUCGGCAACGGAUAUCUCGGCUCUCGCAUCGAUGAAGAACGUAGCAAAAUGCGAUACUUGGUGUGAAUUGCAGAAUCCCGUGAACCAUCGAGUCUUUGAACGCAAGUUGCACCUGAAGCC